ensembl:lncRNA
CCAGUUUCGCCCUCCUUUCCAGUCUUCUGUCUUCCUGCUUAAAAAGAGAAAGUUCUGCCCCUGGCCUUUCCCCAUUGGUCCAUUUGCCAUAUGCCACUAAUUGCUAAUUAGUUGGGGACGAUUGUCAAUUGAGGACACAACUCAAACAGAACUCAAAGCAGAUUAUAAAUUGUCCAGCAUGCAAUCACAAAACAACAAGUCAUAGAAACAUGCAAUCAUAAAAUAACAAACUGUAAAACAUGCAACAACAAAUCAAUAAAAUAUGCAAUCAUUUGUGCAUGCAAUCAAGGGUCCCCAAUAGUCCACCCAGUGACAUACUCCCCCACUUAAACGUAGGUAGUCCCUGCCACUGGACAAGCCUAAUGUCGAUAUCGGCUUGGUGGUAGUCCACGGGUAGCGCGUGCCGACCGGCGGAGCGCAUUGUCCACUACUUCUGCUGGUGGUUCAGGAGGCAAAAUGUCUGCCCCUACCUCAGGCUGCUCAAAAAAUCAAUUGUGCAUGCAAUCAAGGGUCCCCAAUCGUACACCCAGUGACAUGUCCAUGAUUGUUUCAACCUGUGUCCAAUCACCCGCACCUUCCCAGUGUAUUCAAGCCAUGUGUGUAUCUUGUCCCUUGUCACGUCAUUGAUCGUUUAAUCCUUCAUGUUAUGCCUGGAACAUCUACCCUGAACCUGGUCCCUGUGUGAUGCAAGUCCCUGUUCACCGUCUGUGUUAUUCCAUGUCUUCGUUUGUUUCCCCCUGGCAUUUUAGAUUUAUUAAAAGUAUCGUUUUUGUCACAAACUUUGCGUUUGACCCCUACUUCCUGCCUCGCCUCCCCGGUCCUGAUAUUACCAUACUUGGAUGACUUGCACUGAUUGGAGUCAGCUAUGGUUACUUUUGAAUGAAAUGACAUGUGUCCGUCAGUAAGCAGGGAUGAUAAUUAGCGCUACCAAGUUUUACGUUAGCUCCCUCGGUCGACCGUGCAUGCAUGGUGACCCGAACGGUCGUUUGCGAUCAACCUCUUGCGACCCCUGGGCUAAAGAAUCAGGACAACCUGAGUUUUCCCCCCCAAUUACCAAUGAGGCUAGGUCAUACCACAUUAAAGGCUGAUUUAUGUUUGAUAGCUUUAAUUACCGAUCUUUCACAAUUUUCCAGGCAUACACGAAUACUAUGGAAUGCCGUUUUAGUCAAAAUUAAAUAAAUGAAUAAAUACGUAAAUACAUCAAAUAUGCAUUUGAAAUAGAUCAUGAAAUAAAUAAAUGAGGCAAUAAAUACAUAAAUAUUAAAUACAUUUAAUUAUUUCAUGGUAGGCUACUUUUAUUUCAUAAUGCCACUUUUCAUUUCCAGAGUCUUUUAUUUCAUAAUGCCACUUUUCAUUUCCAGAGACUUAUUUCAUAAUGCCGUUUUACAUUUCACGUUCUUAUAUGCAAAUCAGGGGGCGUGGCUACAUCUAACAUUCAGAACAGACAACAGAGCCGUGUGCAAAAGAAGGCUUUUUUGUGUGAUUUGUAUACACAUCAGCUCAACUGAAGUAAAGUUAUAUAAACUGAAGCUUAAAAGUGCAUUAUUCAGCUUUUGUCAACUCUGCCUCUUUGGGGCGGAGCUCAACGCGGCUACAAACUGAAAAACAUUGAUAUAUUACAGCAUUUUAAAAAUGACAUUGUUAAUCUGCAUAUUUAUAUUUCCUGCACACAAGAGGUGCUUCUUAACAAAUGUUCCUCUUUAGCUCUGGUUUAAUGUGAGAAAAAUGUCUGGCUCUUUAGCUGCUAAUUGCUGCUGUAUUUUAAUCUGCUUUCCUCGGACUGUGUUUGUGUGCUAUGUAUAAGACCUUUCUCGCACAGUUUCUAUUGGAAUGAGAGCUUCGAUGCUGAAGCUAAACAGAAAAGUAGCAGGUCAUUUAACCCCAAAUAAUAUUGAGAAAUUUCAGUUGAAUUGGGUACAUAAUGAUUUUUCUCUCUGUUGUGAAGGUCCUCUGUCAUGGCUCAGUCACCCAGUAACUUGCUAGGCCACACAGGGAAAUGAAAAACCUCCACUUACUUUGGCUGACACCAAUGUCUUACGAAGUUGAGUUUUAAAGAGUUAAGAAAGCAGCCUGCAGUAAAGUGAUGCUGGUGGUCGCACACUUAGACUAAGGUUCUCACUUCAGCCCUUUUAAAUACAGUGGGUUGGUCAGUGGCAAAGCAAAAUUAAAACUUGUCCCGGAGUUAUGGCUGGAGUAACGGAAUCAUUUAGGUUUCACAUAAAGACAUCGUUUGGGGGAGUUGGAUGGAUGUUGGGGUCUAAAGACACAUGGACCUCCACCCAUGAGACCACUGUUCUUGAAAAUGUAUGUUAAAGCUUUGCUUUUGCAUUGAAGUCUACUUAACUACGUUGUGGGGUUACUUAGUGUUACUGCAUCUCUGACAGAACUAAGCCUUUCUAAAUAUUACUCUUUGAAAUCAUUGAUCCUAGACUGUGUUUUCUUACCCAAGUCAGUAAGCAGGUCAUUUACAUGAGCCUACUGGAUGUGCAGGUAAAGUGUGUAAAGUGAAUGGGGAAAAUGCUUCAUGGGACACAUACUGUGUGAUGGCUGUGAGGCAGGCUGGGCAUGCUUGAACGGUUUUAGUUCUAAUCUGCAUUUUACGGUUACCCAUGCAAUAGCAAUGAGACAACCUGAGCGAGUACAGCAAACUCCCCCAAUAAUCCUCCAUUAUUAACUGUCAGAGACAAAUCAAAAAAAUGUUUGGAUGUAUCCCUAAAAGAACCGUUACUCUGUCACUUUUUCUUUUUUUGGGAUUAUGUAAACCCAUGACUGUUAUAGGCCUUAUUUCUUUUUUUGUCACUGCCAAAAGCAACCUGCUGGGACACAAAGAAAAAAAACAGCAGAUCGGCUUUUGGAACAAAGUCAGUUAUGUAAAAAGUUUUGGACCAGAGCCUUCAUCGACACCUCAGAGCUGGCAGCACAAGCAGUAGCUGUGCUCGGGUGGAACAGUAUCACAUCCCAGCGAAGCCUGUCUCUGACUUCACAGGUAUCCUCGCUCCAGAAAAAAAUCUGCCACAGCUUCGUCAAGCAGGAAAAUGGAGAUGUGCUAUACUGGAUAACAAAUAAAUGAUACACCAUCUGCCCAGUGAAUUUGGUUUCCCUUAAAGCUGACUAAAUGCUGCCCUGUUGAAGGCUGUAGAUUAUUACAGCACGAUGAUUGUUAGCGGAUGUUACAAUUAUUACAAAGGGUUUGUUUCUCUGAUAGCACCAGGGCAUAUAAACUGCAGUUUUUAUCGAUAGGGCGUUUGGUCAUCCGUCCAUAUUGAGAUGUCUGAACAGCUCCUCAGCAGAUUGCCUUUUAAUAUUCAUGGACCCUGAUUGUUGUAACCUCAAUCUUUCCACCUGAGUCCUGGAUAUUUACAUCAACAUAUAAUUAGGGCUGCGAUUCCGUGGCCGUUUCUCAUUUGAAUCCAGCAUAACAUUUCUGAACAAAUCCCUUUGAAAGAAAGAUUUGAAUGGUAAAGCAAACAUAUUAAAGAUUUGAAUAGCAGCCUAUUAAACGAUCCCAAUCUGUAAAUUAUAAAAUGCAGCAAAUGCUGAUUAAAUACAAGUGUAUAUGUCCGGUACAUCUGUUAUGUCUUUUCAACAGCUACUUGAACCCAACACUGGAGGCCCGGAUUCUGGCUUGAUUGAUAUUCUUAAAUAUUAAUUAUUAACACAAUAUCUGCGAACUGGGAAAAAUACAACUAGGAUUUGUUUCUCUAGAGAAGACGCAACACUCAUUUUAAACUUAAUCCACCAUAAAAACGCAACUUCAACUUGUGAGUACAUUGAGUGGUGCUUCUCUCACCUGAAAGUUGUCAGCUAUAUCACUAAUUAGGUGAUGUAGAUAUGAUCUGUCGCUCGCUAAAAAUAAGUGGCCCGCUGACCUGAAUGUUUGGCACAUUGCUAAAUACAGAGCGAGGCGAGACAAAAGAUUUGAUAAGGGAUUCAUUAACCUUGGAGCUUAGCAAAUCUAGAUUUCUUUAUUAAACUGGCAUGCAAUCCAAAAAGAAUCCAUGAGUGAUGAAUCAAAGUGCUAUCUGUUAAUAUAGUAAUGUUAUUGCAAAUUUUAAGUAACCAGUUUUGGAUUCUUAUAGGUUUCCCAAAUAUGUUACUAUUCUGCGGUGCACGAUUUUAAUUACAACAAUGUAUCUGCUAACAUAAUCAGCACAUUAAUGUCUCACAGAAGAUGGUUGGCUUACCUCUUGGGUUAUGUCAUUCCAAAGGACACAUUUUACAUUGUUACUCCAAUUACUGGCAAUGUUGUUGUACAUGUAAUGAAUUAAAAUGUAACUGUCAGUGGUGGGGACCAACAUAUUCUCUAACUUAUCAAAUACCAACAUUUAGUCAGUGGUGGCACUCUUGGUACCUCUCUGGGAUCACAGACAAAAUAGCAGCUUCUGCUUGUCAUAUAUUUAGCACCUUUUUAAAAAUAAACUUAAGUUUGUUGUUUAAAACAAAUAAACUGUGCUAAUGGUAAGUGUAAAUUGGUCAUGUAAAUUACAUGACAAAACUAUAAUAAAGUGGAAUCCUGGGAGAGAAAAACUCCGGUGCUAUCCCAACUGGGCAUUGUUGUGUGUGCCCAUGCAUGUAGGAAACAUUUGUGAUUGGCCUCUCUGGAUACAGGACAUGUAAGGGGCUGGGUUUGUUAUCUGCUGCUUGCACUACUGUUCUAGUAACAACUCGCAUAAGAAAAACUAUCAGUGGGCAGAGAUUGUCUCACGAGGGCCCUUUUGGUAAAAGUCCUGUGUUUUGAGCCAAUUUCCCCUCUUUAAACCACGACAGUUGCUUUGACCAUUUAAUACAUAUGGGAAAGGAUUAAUUGGAAGUGUGGUGCAUCUCAUUCAAACAUUAAAUGGUAGCUCUGAGUUGGACAACUCGGCUGCAGUGUUGCAGCAAAGAAAUCAAAUUAGUUAUAUCAUCUAAGACUCAAUGUAAUUUAACAUUUUCUGCCAGAAAUAUGUCCAUAGAGAGAAUAUUUUAGCAGCUUCAGUUUUGACUGAAACAGAAAAAUGAAACGCUCAAGUUCUAAACUGCAAAAGCAACCCAGAAAACAAGAACACUUACUCAAUUACAAGAACUACAAGAUGUAGCACUCCAGAAUAAUGAACUACUAAUUAAUUAUCAUCAAACCAUUUAGUUCUAUGCCUUGUAUGCUGUUUUUAUUUUUUUUUAACAAAUAUGACAGGGAAUAAAAUACUAAAGCCACAAUCCAUCAUUCUGAUGUCUACACACUCAAGCAGGCCAAACAAACAAAAGAGUUAUAAAAGACUCAUGUUAGUCCUCUAAGUCAUUAGGUGAAAUAAGACUGUAGUAGAAGACGCCAUUUUUAUUGUUUAAGUAUUAAAUUAGACAUGCAUGCAAAUUGUUAUCUCAUCUAUCCCACCCACACAGUGGAAAGAGCUGGCUGCCGUAAAGGCGCCCGGGGAGCAGUUAGGUGUUUGGUGUCUUCCUCAGGGACACUUCGACAUGGGACAUGGAGCAGUCAGGUUUCAAACCGCCAACCCUGCGAUUCCCGGCGCACCCUCUCUACUCCAUGCGCCACUUAUGGAAGGGAUUCUCCAUUACACUGGUGUUACUAUCUAUCUAUCACACACCAUCACUGUCAUGGCUAUAUGCUGUACAGUAUGUAAUGUAUUCUGACAGGUUCAGGCUAUUUUAUUAGCAACUCCAUCAGACUAUCUCAUAUUAAAACCUCAAGAAAGAAAUAGAAAAAAUCAAUUGAUUUCAAGUAUAGUAAAAUUUGGCACCCACAAUCUUCAUAAUUGUGUGUUUUGAUAUGGAUCAAUAAAUACAGAUUUUGAAUAUUAAUCAGAUAUUUAUAAAAUAUAUAUAUAUAAAAAUUGUACAUUUGUGUAACAUGAAAUGUACCUGAAAUGCUAUAUAAAAAACAGAUGUUCUUGCAUGAUAUUGCUCUAAAAAAAUAUCACUUAUGGCCAGUGCCGUUGACUUGUAUGCUCAAAUUGAUGUAAAAAUGCAAAAAAAAAACAUGAAAUAUGUUUGUUAACCAGGGUCAAGUCACAUAAUGUAUGGCCCUCCGUGACAUACCUGGAAGCAGGAGAUAAAAUACUGUGUGCCUUGGGCCAAGCUGUGCACAGAUGUCAUUCUACUUUGCUGGAUUUACAGCGGGAGCACUUAGUGCAGUAACAGAGAUGUGUUCAUAGAAAAUCAAACUGACACGUUGACUUCCUCUACAGGACCUUAGAGGCUGCUGGCCUCUUCAUCUUUACAUCUGCUACAGCAAUACUGCAGCAUGUGUACUUUACCCUGAUCUCAUGUCACGAUUCUCCAGAGUGUACACCUCCAUCAAGGGCCACAACAGGGAGUCACAGCAAUCUACCAGGCAUGAUGUAAGCAUGGCACACUACGUGUAAUAUGGGUGAAAUACAAGUCACGAGUUCAGUUCCAAAAACGCUAAAUGGCAAAGAAUCCAGUUUUGAUGAAGUGAUAUAUAUAUAUAUAUAUAUGUAUAUAUGUGAAACAAUUAUAAAUGUUUUACUAUUUUUGGAUGACACCGGUUGACGUUGGGGUUGUGUGAUGUCAAAUGCAGGUAUUGUUACAACUGAGUUGUUGCAUUUGGUUAAGUCCUGUAUUACUUUGCCAAUAUGUCCCCUCAACACCUAUAUCAUUUUUCUCCUCAUUCCCAUGUUUCCUCAGCUCUAUGUUCCAUCAUGGACUUUUUGUCCAUUCCGGUUUUGUUCUAAUUCUCCUAUGUACUUUUAUUCCGAUUCAAAAUCAAGCCCGAGGUUUCCUUAUCCCUAUGUUCCUUAACAAAGCUUUUGUUUUUGUACCAUUUUGUAAAUCCCCAAUAACACCUUAUGUUACCUCAUCAACAUUUUGUCUAUCUCAAAAGAGGCCCUAGGUUCCUAGACAUUACGUCAAUCUCAACUGAGGCCCUAUCUUCCUUCAACAUUAUCCCUGGCCGAUGUUAAAAUGUGCAAGCUUCACGAUCCAGCUCCUAGCUCAGCUGGUGCUGCAAAAGGCAUCAAAAGCCCUCAAGGACUAGUACAGAAGCUUCACGCUGCUCUGCAGCAGCGUCUCAACCCAAGCUCUGACUUUCAUUUAGAUGCAGCCGUAACCUCUUGUUGACCCCGCUCUCUGUCCACCCACUCUAACACAUGCUGUGACUGCUUGCAUCCCAAACCCCUCAGAAUGAUUCAAUCAUGAUGGAUCUUUUUCCUGCAAAAAAAUUGUUCAGGCGCCUUACUGCUGCAAGGAGAUCCACCUUUGCUUAUGUGGGCGGAGAGAGAAAGAGAAACAAAACUGGCAGGGAAAUUCUUAGUUUGAUAAAUUUGAUUUCUCAUGACAGACAUUUCAGUGCUAUCCAACUCAUUUCACUUUUCUGUCAAUUUAAAUAUAUAAUAGAUAAAUGCUAUUAAUAUAAUAACUUAUUCUUACUCAAAUUCUGAAUAGUUUGGGCAAAAUAUAAAGCAUUACAUAUUGUUUUGCCCUAUUCUCAAAGAGCAUUGCCACUUGGACUGGAGUACAUUUAAAAAAAAAAAAUCUAUUUCAUCAUAUCCCCCAUCAGUGAGAGUCUUUUGUAAAUCAACGCCUAUAUUUUUGUUUCACUUUUUGACAUUUCAGCAUGACACGUAAAACAGCAGGAGAUCAAAUCCUAAUGGCUUAUCUGGAUGAAAGCCAAAAUCAAAUUGCAUGCAUUUCUAACCUAGCCAAAUGCCGAAUGUGUAUGCUUGUCAAAAAAAAGCUUAUUGAAAUAAUAGGUUUUAUACUGUCAAUGUUUUUUCUGUAUUAAAAAUGGAACAAAAUAACAAAACAACAACGCUGUCUCUCAAAGCUUUUCUAGCGGAUCCUAAAUAAAUUGCCUUUUUUUUUAAAAGGCAACAGUGUGGCUCAUUGAGGAUCCCAUAAUAGAUUGUCCACCCAGUGUACUGAAAUGGAGCUUCAUGGCUAUGGUUUCAUAAACAGACAAUCCUUCUUAGUGAGAUAAAUUGGUCUUGUUCUUUUCCAAAAAUUUAAAAGCCAAAAUAGUCAAACCAUUCACAUUGGGCCAUUUACUCCAUAGACUGUAUUACAAAAAAACAAUGCUCCAGGAAAAAAUAAGAUCGAUGAUGUCUUUCUGCAUUAUAAGCAGCAAUGAGCUCUCAGUCAUUCAUUAGUUUGUUGCAAGGAGAGUUGAUGGAAAAAUUAGGCUUUCAGACAUUUUCCUCACUGCCGUUGUUUCGUAAUAAUGCAUUGUAACAAUUGUAUGCCACACAUUUUAAGCUGCACACAAAGAAAGAAACUGGUCUUAAAAAGAAGAAUAUGCCCAACCCCAGCCCAAGUAUACUGCGCGUCUUGGCCCGUUUGGAUUCCAAUGGCUGAAAUGAAAGAUUGUCUUUUGGGUCUUAUCCCAAAGUAGUGCAUCUGGACUACUCGGCCUUCAGACAUCCAGGCACCUGAAAUCGGACUAUGUAUCUUUUCUUUAAACCAAGCUAGUCUGCUAACUUAGUUGUUGAUUCUAGUGUUUUAGGUAGAUUGCUAGUUUGCUUUAGCUCUUGCAGUUUUUACUGCCAGUUCUUCCUGUCGACUCUGUAAAUCUGUUAUUUACGUUGACUGCUGGCGUGCCCUCCUGUCUUUGCUAGGUUUGAUCUAACUCUGUUUUGCCUUCUCUUCUGCUUCAGAAGAGACUUGAAUCCUUCAACUCUGUUUGUCAAAACCAUGGUGAUCUGUCACGGUGUGGUUCACUUCAUGUUAUAUUUUGUAGUUUUCUGCCACUUGUGUCCCCGGGUAACUUCACUUCCUGCCUUGUCCCGUCAUCCCCUGUGAUCGUCUUAAUAGUUUACACCUGUGUCCAAUCACCUGCACCUCCCUAGUGUAUUUUAGCCGUGUGUCUCUUGUGUCACUUGUCGCGUCAUUGUCUUUUGCCACGCUUGUUCUUGUCUUUCGUCCUGGAUCUCUGUAGUUUUUUGCCUAUGUGCUUUUGCCCCCGGUUCCUGUGUUUUUGACCUUUUUGACUAUUAAAGUGUUUUGUUUGGAGAAGUCUGCAUUUGAGUCCUGCCUUCCACCCUCAACCCUGACAGAAUGACGCGACCAGUGGACUCAGCAGACCCGCUGCCAGACUACGGCUCGGACUACUUGGACGUAAGAAGUCCCUUCUGGCAGCGGAAAACGAAUUUUGUUUUUGGUCCCAGGAGC